CCCUUAGAUGUCCUGGGCCGCACGCGUGCUACACUGAUGCAUACAGCGAGUACUUUCCAGCUCCGCGAGGCAGCUGGUAAUCAGCAAUAUGCAUCGUGCUGGGGAUAGAUCUUUGGAAUUAUAGAUCUUGAACGAGGAAUUCCUAGUAAGCGCAAGUCAUUAGCUUGCGCUGAUUAAGUCCCUGCCCUUUGUACACACCGCCCGUCGCUCCUACCGAUUUCGAGUGAUUCGGUGAACCUUUUGGACAGCGUCUGUCCUCGUGCCAGAUGCUGAAAGUCAAGUAAACCAUAUCACUUAGAGGAAGGAGAAGUCGUAACA
rnacentral:rRNA from 1 species